UCUUUCUCUCCGUAAUUAUUUUCUAUGUUGCAAUGGAAUUAUUAAUUUUGCACAUGUGUAUUUCACUACCCUGUUAUGAUUAAACUUCAAUUUUUUUUGUUUAUUAUCAGAAAAUGUUUUUUUUUUUUUUUUUUGGUCUAGAAUUAAAGAGGAUUGCAUGCUCUUUUUACACAAUGCAAAUUAAUGUUCACAAAACCAAAAAUAAAUUUAAUGAAGUCAAAUUGAUAUUUGUAUCGUCAAUUAGGAGAGAAAGAGUUAAGCUUACAGUAUUGUAAUAUUAAAAAGAAGCAACAAACCUAAUGAUAUAUAUAGGAACUAGCGACAGUAAAUUAUAUAAACGUUACCACUGCAAGUUGCAAAGAACUAUUUAAAGAAAUACAAUAAACAAGAAAUCCUCCUGGAUUAAAAUUGGUCCCAUGUAACCUUCUUCAGUUACCAACCAGUAAAGACAACUAAGUCAGUGUGACCCAAUAUCUUUAGUUAUUGUAUUUCUCCAGUUGUAUUGCUUUAGACUGGUCAAUACAGUGACAUUUUCACAGCUCUCAUAGGG